rnacentral:rRNA from 1 species
CGAAUGCUGACGUGAGUAACGACAAAACGGGUGAAAAACCCGUUCGCCGAAAGACCAAGGGUUCCAGUCCAACGUUAAUCGGGGCUGGGUGAGUCGACCCCUAAGGCGAGGCCGAAAGGCGUAGUCGAUGGGAAAAUGGUUAAUAUUCCAUUACUUCUGUGUAAUGCGAUGAGAGGACGGAGAAGGCUAAAUCAGCCUGGCGUUGGUUGUCCAGGUGAAAGGAUGUAGGCAUGUAUCUUAGGCAAAUCCGGGGUACUCUAUGCUGAGAUCUGAUAGCAAGCUGUACUUGUACAGCGAAGUGGUUGAUGCCAUGCUUCCAGGAAAAGUCUCUAAGCUUCAGUUACACAGGAAUCGUACCCGAAACCGACACAGGUGGUCAGGUCGAGUAGACCAAGGCGCUUGAGAGAACUCUGCUGAAGGAACU